GCCCCCCAACAAGCCCCAAGUAAAUACCCGCACCCCUCCCCCAACAUUUAAGGAAUGUCUCUGUUCCUUAAAGAGGAAUGCCCAGAGGCAAAAUUUUCUUUCAUGUUUGCAAAUAAAUACUUGCUAACCGGGGUGGGGGUGAGGGGGUCGGGGUGGGAAGAAAAAUUUAACAGGCAAAAUCCAAAACAACAAAUUCCUGCAUCUUUAAUAGCAGCCUUGUUCUGAAUUCUUUCCCAAUGCUGAGUUAAAUAAACUAAUCUAUAGUUCUAUAACAGGUUUCUCCAAGGAAUUGCCCUUUUUCUUGACUGUCACACUACUAAAGAAUUGCAAAAAAUUAUUGCGUUAACAAAAGAUGUUCUACUUAUGUUUUCUCACACACUGUUUUUGUUUUUUAGGGAUACUAAAUGUAAAUUUGACCAUUACAAAAUAAUGGCAAUCUGAAAUAUUUAAUCUCACAACGUUCUCAUAAUGGCCAAAAUUUUUAUUCUUCUGAUUUCUAAAUGUCACCACAAGUAUUAAAUAUGUAUAUGCACAAAAAUUCUACUUUAACUACAUUACAUAAUGUCAAAAUUUACACAGAUAAAAGAGUACACUUAUAAUACUUAAAGUAAAAUAAAA
rnacentral:lncRNA from 1 species